rnacentral:rRNA from 1 species
GAUGAACGCUGGCGGCGUGCCUAAUACAUGCAAGUCGAACGAACAGAUGAGGAGCUUGCUCCUCGGACGUUAGCGGAGGAGGGGUGAGAAACACGUGUAUAACCUACCUAUAAGACUGGGAUAACUUCGGAAAACCGGCGCUAAUACCGGAUAAUAUAUUGAACCGCAUGGGUGAAUGGAGAAAGACGGUUUUGCUGGCUCGUAUAGAGGGAUCCGGGCCGCAUGAGAUAGUUGGGGAGGUCACGGCUUAGCAAGGCAACGAUGCGUAACCGAGCGGAGAGGGUGAUCGGCGACACUGGAGCUGAGCCACGGUCCAGACUCCUACGGGAGGCAGCAGUAGGGAACGGUCCGCAAUAGGCGAAAGUCUGACGGAGCAACGCCGCGUGAGUGAUGAAGGUCUUCGGAUCGUAAAACUCUGUUAUUAGUGAAAAACCGCUGUGUAAGUAAAUAUGCACGUCUUGACGGUAACUAGUCAGAAAGCAACGGCUAACUACGUG